rnacentral:misc_RNA from 1 species
GGAGCAGAAAGGUCAGGCCGAUCCCUUUGGUCUCUGUACUUGUUGAGGUUGGCAAGAUGAUUUCUGAUAAUUUCACACAAUCUGCGAAAUUCUGUUGUUCUUUUAUACACCUUACAAAACUGGAAGGCACGAUGGGCUGUCAUCGCAUAAAGUGCCUCCAACUUUGAGUUAUUCCUUAGUAUCUCAAGCACUGUUCGAUAUGUCUCCCACAGAAAUUUAAACCAGGGGGUAACGAGUUCGCGAUCAGACCUAUCUUUUCC